UGUGAUCUGUGACUCGAAGAUGAAGGGAAAAACUGUGUGCUGGUGACAUCAUGAAGAGUACCAAUAGAUUUACAACAUGACUUUUGAUUAAAUUAUUUUCGAUCAAGUUUAGGAAUUGAGGAUUGUAAAAUCACUGGAAGAAGGGGGAUGUUGCCUUCUUAUUCAAACCCAAAAUCAGCUGCCCAAACUAAUGGCUAUGACUAAAGUAACGGUAUUAAAGCGAUACUCGAUCAAUACGGGUUUGAAUAGAAACCAUACGACUUUCGGAUUUCACAACAGAAGAAACGAGGGCGAAAAAUUUACACGUUAUUACUGAUAACCAUUUCUUUUUCUUUACCAACCUCGGUUGUACGCCAAAUGACCUGUUUAUUAGUACCGGUCAUCUCAGCUCUCACCUGUUGGAUGACUUCCAAUUUGCUGAAGUUUAAGUUUCACCAUCAUUGCGGAAUCUCGUCGGGGACUAUGAAAAGGAGAUCCUCGAUUUCGAUUCACAGCAGUUCUUCCAUUUCAACUGAACUAUCAAGUCGUGUUCCAGUACCGUCAACCCGAGAAUUAAAAAUGAUGAAAUUGUUUCUCAUUUCUCUGAUCGGUGCCAUUUCCAUGACAACUGUGUCCGCUCGCUUGUGGGAAUAUUCCGACAAUAACCAGGUUCGGUGGUCGACAAAUUGUAAUUUCCUUGGCAGCGACUACCUGCAAAUUUUUGCAGCCAACGACCAGUGUGGAAAAAUUUGCCUGGACAACUGGGGUUGUACUCAUUUCACCGCCAGUCGAACUACCUGUUCUCUAAAAAGGAAUACGAAUGGGUGGACUGAAAGCUUUUCUCGCAAUGAAGUCUGUGGAUUCAUCCCUGGCCGCAGCACCCAAAGCGUUGAACCUCGAAAACCCAUUGUUAAAAAUUAAGGAGUUAUAACAAAAGAUUUGAGUACAAUUUGUGCUCUCUCUUUGUUGUACCGGAAGACGAAGAUUCUCACAUUUUUAUAGAAGUUUUUUACGUUUUUAAAUGACAUAUAAUCUUUAAUUCUUUACGUUUUCUUACGAAAUUGACGUGGGUGCAAUAAUCAUGGUUUAUUUUUAAAAAUUUCAAUUUUAGCUACUUUACUAUCAGUUUGUCAUUUUCGCAAUCAGUGCUAUUGAAUUUUGAAUAAUUCUCUCAUUCGUGUUGGCAUAAUACAGUAUCUAAAGGCCAAA
rnacentral:misc_RNA from 1 species